rnacentral:rRNA from 1 species
UACAGAGGUCUCAAGCGUUUGUUCGGAUUCAUUGGGCGUAAAGGGUGCGUAGGUGGCGCUGUAAGUCGGGUGUGAAAUUUCGGAGCUUAACUCCGAAACUGCAUUCGAUACUGCGGUGCUUGAGGACUGGAGAGGAGACUGGAAUUCAUGGUGUAGCAGUGAAAUGCGUAGAGAUCAUGAGGAAGACCAGUGGCGAAGGCGGGUCUCUGGACAGUUCCUGACACUGAGGCACGGAAGGCCAGGGGGAGCAAAACGGG